UGAAUACGAGAUGCUACGGCGUCGAAGCAGUGUAUGUCAGACUUCCAAGAAAAGCUCGCAAUGUCAUAAAUAAAGAAUGCCUGUACCAUAACCGACACAGGUGGGUAGGUAGAGUAUACUAAGGGGCGCGAGAUAACUCUCUCUAAGGAACUCGGCAAAAUAACUCCGUAACUUCGGGAGAAGGAGUGCCUUCUUUAAGAAGGUUGCAAUAACAAGAUCCAAGCAACUGUUUAUCAAAAACACAGGUCUCCGCUAAGUCGUAAGACGAUGUAUGGGGGCUGACGCCUGCCCAGUGCCAGAAGGUUAAAGAAGUUGGUUAGCUUUUGCGUAGCUGAUGACUGAAGCCCGGGUGAACGGCGGCCGUAACAAUAACGGUCCUAAGGUAGCGAAAUUCCUUGUCGGGUAAGUUCCGACCCGCACGAAAGGCGUAAUGAUUUGGAUACUGUCUCGGAGAGGGACUCGGUGAAAUAGACUUGUCUGUGAAGAUGCGGACUACCUGCACCAGGACAGAAAGACCCUAUGAAGCUUUACUGUAACUUGAAAUCGAAAUUGGACUUUAUUUGCGCAGUAUAGGUGGAAGGCGUUGAAAGUAAUCUUGCGGGAUUAGUGGAGCCAUCAGUGAGAUACCACUCCUAUAAUGUUAGAUUUCUAACUUUGGAUCAUGAUCUGGUCAAAGAACAGUUUCAGGCGGGCAGUUUGACUGGGGCGGUCGCCUCCCAAAUGGUAACGGAGGCGUACAAAGGUUUCCUCUGAACGGGUAGAAAUCGUAUCUAGAGUGUAAAGGCAUAAGGAAGCUUGACUGUGAGACCUACAAGUCGAGCAGGGACGAAAGUCGGUCUUAGUGAUCUGACGGUGCUGAGUGGAAAGGCCGUCACUCAACGGAUAAAAGUUACUCUAGGAUAACAGGCUGAUCUCCCCCAAGAGUUCACAUCGACGGGGAGGUUUGGCACCUCGAUGUCGGCUCAUCGCAUCCUGGGGCGGUAGUACGUCCCAAGGGUUGGGCUGUUCGCCCAUGAAAGCGGUACGCGAGCUGGGUUCAGAACGUCGUGAGACAGUUCGGUCCAUAUCCGGUGUAGGCGUUAGAAUAUUGAGAGGAGCCUUCUUUAGUACGAGAGGACCGAGAAGGACAUACCUCUGGUGUACCAGUUAUCGUGCCAACGGUAAACGCUGGGUAGCUAUGUAUGGAGAGGAUAACCGCUGAAAGCAUCUAAGUGGGAAGCCCACCUCAAGAUGAGUAUUCUCAC
rnacentral:rRNA from 1 species